rnacentral:lncRNA from 1 species
CAGCAACUCGCUCUGCUGGCAGCCAGCAUCCCCUGAGCUGCCCGUGCCGACGCCCCUGGCUGCCCCUGCGCCUCCGUCGCCCCGCACUGCACAUCUGAUGGAAGAGGCGCGGCGGAGGCGGCCCCGGGUGGUUCUCACCCGCCUGGCACUGCCGACCCCCCUGGCUGCCCCCGCACCUCUGCUGCCCCGCACUGCACGUCUGAUCCAAG